UUGCUUCCAUAGCAUAUGUACUAAAACUGGAACGAUACAAAGAAGAUUAGCAUGGCCCCUGAGCAAGGAUGAUCAGCGAAUUAAGUGUUCAAAAAAAAAAAAAA
ensembl:snRNA U6 U6 spliceosomal RNA